rnacentral:lncRNA from 1 species
GAGUUGCCUUUGUAUGCUGGGAGGACCAAGCCGGAGGUUCCCACUAUGAGCCCGGAGUCUGUGCAGCCAGAUGACGCAUGAGCUCUAUUCAAAAUACCCAAGAUUUGGAAGCAACCUAAGUGCACAUCAGCAGACAAAUGGAUAAAGAAAAUAUGGUACAUAUACAAAAUGGAGUACUAUUCAGCUGUAAAAAAGAAUGAGAUCCUGUCAUUUGCAACAACAUGCAUGGAACUGGAGGUCAUUAUGCCUCUGCCUCUGAAUGUGAAGGGAAACUGGACCAGCUCAGUGUCAAGCCUACAGACAUUUCCUUGUUCCUGGGGACUGAGCAGUUUGAAGUUUCCAAAGAUGAAAACAUCUACUCUGAAGAGACCUGAAUGGACAAGAGAUGUUUUCCUCUUCCUUACCGUAAUAAAAGAGGACUGCUCCUGACCACAGGAUAUGCCUGGUCCUGGAAAUGGCCACAUUUCCCCCCUCAGGACCUCUACUUGGAUGGGUUGUCUUGGAAAUAAGUAUACUGGAUUGGAAUCUGAUGUCUGCUGAGGAAUGGAGAAAGACCACUGGUGAUUCCUCCAUCCUCACUACUGUGUCCCUCCUUGCAUUGCAAGUGCUUUACAAGUCUUCCCAAUAGACCAUGAGCAUCCUGAGGGCUGGUAUCAAAUUUAACUCAUCUCCUAUCCUCAGUGCCUCAUACAAGAUGCUGGAUGUAGGGGAAGUUUAGAAGCUCAAACUGAGGCAGAAUCACAGCGAUUUGGAAAAUGGUCCAAUCAGCUAUAGUGGAAGAGCAGAAUCAUUGAAUAUAAAACAUGGAGAUGUCAGCAGCAGGGGCUGUGAGCUGAACAGCUUCACUGGGAAGAGGAUAUGGGUGAGAAGGUACAGCAAUGGGUACCUCCAUUAACAGGUAAGCUGGAUCCUCAAUAGGAAUAGGCACUAGCUGGUUUUGGAUGAAGGUGUCGUAAGAUCAGAUACACUUUUGAGUGAUCAGCAUGAUCUGGGUAUGGACAUGGCAGAGCAGGUGGAAGGGAAGGGACCAAUAUGUGUCAAUAACCAUCUAUGAGCCAGGGACUUACCGGGAAGUAUAAUGUCUUUGUAGUUAGACAGACCAGUAGUGUCUGUUGCUCUGGAGGAAAUUACUUAAACUCACCAAGACUCAGUUUUCUCUGUAUUAAAAUGAUGACACCUACCUCACUAUCUGGCCAUUGGGAUUAAAUAUGAGAAUAUAUGUGAACAUUUAUGUCAUAUGGUAAGCACUCAGAUGUUUCCUGGUGGAACAGCAUGGUGUGGAUUAGGAACAUCCAAACUCUGACAUCAAGCUGAACUUUUGAAAUAGAGGCCUCCCUGCUCACUAGUUGGGUAACCUUGAACAAGCUAGUUAAACUAUCUAGAGCUCAGUUUUGUUAUCUGGUGAGAUUAAUAGCAUUGAAUGGUGUAAAGCACAUUCUCAGUAAAUGCUCAUUAUUAUGAUUAUAGUUAUUAAUGUUUAUUUAACUUUGAAAUAAUAAUGUGUAGGAGCUCCUCAGGUAGAUAAUGGAAAUAAGAAAUUUCUUAGGUCAUGGAAGCAUGGAGGUAUGGAAAAUUUUGGAGAACAAAGAGGAGUCUGGUGAAGUAGGGUGGGGAUACUGGGCAGAUGCAAAGAUUGCCAAGGGUUAUAUCAUAAAGGCCGGGAUACCGGCCUGGCAUCAACUGCCUUAGAUUGGGAAGAUGCAAAACUGUGGUCUGGAGUCAGCCCUGCAGAAGCCUGUUUCCUGACUUUCCAUCUUCAAUCUCUUUUCUAUGCAGUUACCAGAGUCACGUUUUGAAAUCUCAGAUCUGAGCAUCUAUCCUCAAAUAGAGGCCUACAUGGCUUCCAGUUCCUCCAGGAGAAGGUCCAAAUCCCUUAAGAUGACUUUAAGGCCCUCAAGUGUUCCAGGCUCUGUACGUUCUUGUGCCACAACUAUGCCACAAUGAAACAGUUUUUCCCCCAUUUCUACUUUGUUUUUCCAGCUGUAGAGUCAAAGCCUCAAGA